rnacentral:rRNA from 1 species
UACGGGGGGAGCAAGCGUUGUUCGGAUUUACUGGGCGUAAAGGGCGCGUAGGCGGUCAGCACAAGUCAGUUGUGAAAUCUCCGGGCUUAACUCGGAAAGGUCAACUGAUACUGUGCGGCUAGAGUGCGGAAGGGGCAACUGGAAUUCUUGGUGUAGCGGUGAAAUGCGUAGAUAUCAGGAGGAACACCGGUGGCGAAGGCGCACAUCUGGCCCGAUACUGACGCUGAGGCGCGAAAGCUAGGGGAGCAAACGGG